AUGUCGAGCAGCCUCUUCCUCUGCUCUUCCCAGGUGCGCUAUGCCAGCCUCCCGGCACCGCUCCGGCAGCCGGGCCGCCACGCCGCCCGGCUGCCCCCGGCGGCUGCCGCCUUCGUAUCUCUUCCCCGUCACCGCGCUCCUCCCCUCCACUGGACCGGCUCGGGGGUUCGGAUGAUUUCUUCUUGCUUCGUGGUCAAAAGAAGAAGACGCAGAAAUGGCAUCUACGCUUCUUUGUUUGGCGUUGGAGCUCCUGAGGCUCUGGUCAUUGGAGUGGUUGCUUUGCUGGUUUUUGGCCCCAAGGGUCUGGCAGAGGCAGCCAGGAGUUUGGGGAAGACUCUGCGUGCGUUCCAACCGACUAUCAGAGAGCUACAGGAUGUAUCAAGGGAUUUCAAGAACACUCUUGAACGAGAAAUUGGACUUGAUGAGGAUCCCCCAUCCAUGAGUUACAGGCCUCCUCCGCCUAUGAAUAAUAGCCAACAGCCUGCUGUUGACCAAGAUGUCAAGCCUGAAACAACCGUGCCUUACACCAGCGAGGAACUCAUGAAAGUAACCGAAGAACAGCUGGCUGCAUCCGCAAUUGCUGCUUGGAAUGCACAGCAACCUCCCUCAUCUGAACAGCAAGAAGCAGCAGCAGCAACAACACCUUCUGAAAGUACUGACUCAGCAUUAUCAGUAGGGAGUGAUGGUCCUGGUGCCGUGCCGGAGGAGUCCACCUCAGGUAAUGCUGAGAAUGCAAAGCCGAGAGAUGAGGCAUAA
rnacentral:rRNA from 1 species